rnacentral:rRNA from 1 species
AUUGAACGCUGGCGGCACGCCUAACACAUGCAAGUCGAGCGGCAGCGAGACUAGUAGCAAUACUAGUUGUCGGCGAGCGGCGGACGGGUGAGGAACACGUAGGAAUCUGCCCUUAAGCGGGGGAUAACCAAGGGAAACUUUGGCUAAUACCGCAUAAUCUAGAGAGAGCAAAGCUGCCCGCAAGGGUGGCACUUGAGGAGGAGCCUGCGUGCGAUUAGCUAGUUGGUGGGGUAAUGGCCUACCAAGGCGAUGAUCGGUAACUGGUCUGAGAGGACGAGCAGUCACACUGGGACUGAGACACGGCCCAGACUCCUACGGGAGGCAGCAGUGGGGAAUAUUGGACAAUGGGGGCAGCCCUGAUCCAGCGAUGCCGCGUGAGUGAAGAAGGCCUUCGGGUCGUAAAGCUCUUUAGGUUGGGAAGAAGGGUAUUGGCUGAAUAAUCCAGUACUUUGACGGUACCGACAGAAUAAGCACCGGCAAACUCUGUGCCAGCCGCCGCCGUAAAAC